UGACCUGGCGGAUGCUUUACACACUGCAGUCGAACGGCAGCACGGACUUCGGUCUGGUGGCGAGAGGCGAACGGGUGAGUAAUACAUCGGAACGUGCCCAGUCGUGGGGGAUAACGUAGCGAAAGCUACGCUAAUACCGCAUACGAUCUAAGGAUGAAAGCGGGGGAUCGCAAGACCUCGCGCGAUUGGAGCGGCCGAUGGCAGAUUAGGUAGUUGGUAGGGUAAAGGCCUACCAAGCCGACGAUCUGUAGCUGGUCUGAGAGGACGACCAGCCACACUGGGACUGAGACACGGCCCAGACUCCUACGGGAGGCAGCAGUGGGGAAUUUUGGACAAUGGGCGAAAGCCUGAUCCAGCCAUUCCGCGUGCAGGAUGAAGGCCCUCGGGUUGUAAACUGCUUUUGUACGGAACGAAAAGGUCCUGGUUAAUACCUGGGGCUCAUGACGGUACCGUAAGAAUAAACACCGGCUAACUACGUGCCAGCAGCCGCGGUAAUACGUAUGUGGUGCAAGCGUUAAUCGGAAUUACUAGGGCGUAAAGCGUGCGCAGGCGGUGAUGUAAAACAGAGGUGAAUCCCCGGGCUCACCUGGGAACUGCCUUUGUGACUGCAUCGCUUGGAAGUACCGGGCCAGACGAGGGCGACUGGAACUUCCGACGUUGUAGCAGAUGAAACUGCGUACGCUUUGCCGGACGGAACACUCGGUGUGCGAACGCAAUCCCUCGGGCUGUUAUUGCACGCUCCUUGCACGAGAGUCGUUGGGCGACGCCAGCCCGGUUUAGAUCACCUCGUUACUCGCGGCCCUUCACGAUGUCACUGUCUGUCGGUCUCCCUGCUCCGUACCAC
rnacentral:rRNA from 1 species